AUUGAACGCUGGCGGAAUGCUUUACACAUGCAAGUCGAACGGCAGCACGGAUUUCGGUCUGGUGGCGAGUGGCGAACGGGUGAGUAAUGUAUCGGAACGUGCCCAGUCGUGGGGGAUAACGUAGUGAAAAUUACGCUAAUACCGCAUACGAUCUAUGGAUGAAAGCGGGGGAUCGCAAGACCUCGCGCGAUUGGAGCGGCCGAUAUCAGAUUAGGUAGUUGGUGGGGUAAAGGCCCACCAAGCCAACGAUCUGUAGCUGGUCUGAGAGGACGACCAGCCACACUGGAACUGAGACACGGUCCAGACUCCUACGGGAGGCAGCAGUGGGGAAUUUUGGACAAUGGGCGAAAGCCUGAUCCAGCCAUUCCGCGUGCAGGAUGAAGGCCCUCGGGUUGUAAACUGCUUUUGUACAGAACGAAAAGGUUUCUACUAAUACUAGGAGCUCAUGACGGUACUGUAAGAAUAAGCAUCGGCUAACUACGUGCCAGCCGCCGCAGUAA
rnacentral:rRNA from 1 species